rnacentral:rRNA from 1 species
UACGUAGGUGGCAAGCGUUGUCCGGAUUUACUGGGCGUAAAGAGCGCGCAGGCGGUCGUUCAAGUCGCGUGUGAAAGCCCCCGGCUCAACUGGGGAGGGUCACGCGAUACUGAUCGACUCGAAGGCAGGAGAGGGUAGUGGAAUUCCCGGUGUAGUGGUGAAAUGCGUAGAUAUCGGGAGGAACACCAGUGGCGAAGGCGACACCCUGGACCAGCACUGACACUGAGGCACGAAAGCGUGGGGAGCAAACAGG